GGAUCAGUGAUGAGUCUCCCAUCAAAACAUUCCUUGGAAAAGCAGAACAAAAUGAGUGAAAUAUACUACUGUCUUGCUCAUUGGAACUGAGGUCC